UGGGGAAUAUUGGACAAUGGGGGCAACCCUGAUCCAGCAAUGCCGCGUGUGUGAAGAAGGCCUGCGGGUUGUAAAGCACUUUCAGUAGAGAAGAAAAGCUUACGGUUAAUACCCGUGAGUCUUGACGUAACCUACAGAAGAAGCACCGGCUAACUCCGUGCCAGCAGCCGCGGUAAUACGGAGGGUGCGAGCGUUAAUCGGAAUUACUGGGCGUAAAGCGUCCGCAGGUGGCACUUCAAGUCUGCUGUCAAAGACCAGAGCUCAACUCUGGGCAGGCGGUGGAAACUGGGGAGCUAGAGUACGGUAGGGGUAGAGGGAAUUUCCAGUGUAGCGGUGAAAUGCGUAGAGAUUGGAAAGAACACCAGUGGCGAAGGCGCUCUACUGGACCUGUACUGACACUAAGGGACGAAAGCUAGGGGAGCGAAAGGGAUUAGAUACCCCCGUAGUCC
rnacentral:rRNA from 1 species